AACCAUUGUGAACAUACCCGUACCGUUGCCUCGGCGGGCGGCCCCAGGGCGGGGCCGUAGCCUCCCCUCCGCGGGGGGCGCCCGCCGCAGGUCCGAAAACCAUUUUGAAUAUAGUGGCACCUCUGAGUUAGCUUCUAAACAAUCAAAACUUUCAACAACGGAUCUCUUGGUUCUGGCAUCGAUGAAGAACGCAGCGAAAUGCGAUAAGUAAUGUGAAUUGCAGAAUUCAGUGAAUCAUCGAAUCUUUGAACGCACAUUGCGCCCGCCAGCAUUCUGGCGGGCAUGCCUGUCCGAACGUCAUUUCAACCCCCAAGCCCCGCUUGGUGUUGGGGCGCUACGCGAGAGCGUACGCCCUCAAAAUCAGUGGCGGGCUCGCCGAAGACCCGGGCGUAGUAAUACGUCUCCCCGGAGUCCCAGGCGGGUCCCUGCCGUUAAACCCCCAAAAUCACAGAAGGUUGACUUCGGAUCAGGUAGGAAUACCCGCUGAACUUAAGCAUAUCAAUAAGCGGAGGAAAAGAAACCAACAGGGAUUGCCCUAGUAACGGCGAGUGAAGCGGCAACAGCUCGAAUUUGAAAUCUGGCCUCGGCCCGAGUUGUAAUCUGUAGAGGACGCUUUUGGCGCGGUGCCUUCCGAGUGCCCUGGAACGGGACGCCAUAGAGGGUGAGAGCCCCGUAUGGUUGGACACCAAGCCUGUGUAAAGCUCCUUCGACGAGUCGGGUAGCUUGGGAAUGCUGCUCUAAGCGGGAGGUAAACUUCUUCUAAAGCUAAAUACCGGCCAGAGACCGAUAGCGCACAAGUAGAGUGAUCGAAAGAUGAAAAGCACUUUGAAAAGAGGGUCAAAUAGUACGUGAAAUUGUUGAAAGGGAAGCGCUCAUGACCAGACUUGCGCCGGGCGGAUCAUCCAGCGGUUUCCGCUGGUGCACUCCGUCCGGCUCAGGCCAGCGUCGGCUGUCGCGGGGGGACAAAAGCUCUGGGAAAGUAGCUCCCUCCGGGGAGUGUUAUAGCCCACUGCAGAAUAUCCCCGCGGCGGCCGAGGUCCGCGCCCUGCAAGGACGC
rnacentral:misc_RNA from 1 species